CCCUUAGAUGUUCUGGGCCGCACGCGCGCUACACUGAUGCAUUCAACAAGCCUAGCCUUGACCGAGAGGUCCGGGUAAUCUUUGAAACUGCAUCGUGAUGGGGCUAGAUUAUUGCAAUUAUUAAUCUUCAACGAGGAAUGCCUAGUAAGCGUGAUUCAUCAAAUCGCGUUGAUUACGUCCCUGCCCUUUGUACACACCGCCCGUCGCUCCUACCGAUUGAAUGUGUUGGUGAGGAGCUCGGAUUGGCAGCAGUUGGUGGUUCGCCACCGGCUAUUGCUGAGAAGUCCGCCAAACCGCCCCAUUUAGAGGAAGGAGAAGUCGUAACA
rnacentral:rRNA from 1 species